rfam:Gossypium hirsutum cultivar TM-1 chromosome 11, whole genome shotgun sequence
AAUUCGUGGUGUGGGCAUUUUUUAAUCAACAUUUUGAAGCGUUCUCACACAUCAUAAAAGCUUUCACCAUCCAUUUGUCUAAAAACAACAAUCUCUCUUCUUAAUU